AAGCGGCAACAGCUCAAAUUUGAAAUCUGGCCUCGGCCCGAGUUGUAAUUUGCAGAGGAUGCUUCUGGCGCGGUGCCUUCCGAGUUCCCUGGAACGGGACGCCACAGAGGGUGAGAGCCCCGUAUGGUCGGACACCAAGCCUGUGUGAAGCUCCUUCGACGAGUCGAGUAGUUUGGGAAUGCUGCUCUAAAUGGGAGGUAAAUCUCUUCUAAAGCUAAAUACCGGCCAGAGACCGAUAGCGCACAAGUAGAGUGAUCGAAAGAUGAAAAGCACCUUGAAAAGGGGGUUAAAUAGUACGUGAAAUUGUUGAAAGGGAAGCACUUAUGACCAGACUUGGGCCGGGCGGCUCAUCAGGGGUUCUCCCCUGUGCACUCCGCCCGGCACAGGCCAGCAUCGGUUCUCGUGGGGGGAUAAGACCGUCAGGAACGUAGCACCCUCCGGGGUGUGUUAUAGCCUGGCGGACGAUACCCCCGUGGGGACCGAGGUCCG
rnacentral:rRNA from 1 species